CCAACCCUUUGCAAACUCCGAAUACCCAUGAGUAGAGCACGGGAGACAGACAUCGGGUGCUAACGUCCGGUGUCAAAAGGGAAACAACCCAGACCAUCAGCUAAGGUCCCAAAGUUAUAGUUAAGUGGGAAACGAUGUGGGAAGGCAUAGACAGCUAGGAGGUUGGCUUAGAAGCAGCCAUCCUUUAAAGAAAGCGUAAUAGCUCACUAGUCGAGUCGGCCUGCGCGGAAGAUAUAACGGGGCUAAAACUAUACACCGAAGCUAUGGAUUCAUACUUUGUAUGAGUGGUAGAGGAGCGUUCUGUAAGCCGUUGAAGGUAAAGGCGAGAGCCAUGCUGGAGGUAUCAGAAGUGCGAAUGCUGACAUAAGUAACGACAAAGGGGGGUGAAAAACCCCCUCGCCGAAAACCCAAGGGUUCCUGUCCAACGUUAAUCGGGGCAGGGUGAGUCGGCCCCUAAGGCGAGGCUGAGAAGCGUAGUCGAUGGGAAACAGGUUAAUAUUCCUGUACUUGUUUGUAAUGCGAUGAGGGACGGAGAAGGCUAGGCCAGC
rnacentral:rRNA from 1 species